UAUAAUGUGCUAUUCUACCCCC
rnacentral:siRNA from 1 species